UACUAGAAUAUUAAAAGUUAUGGCCUUUAAAUUUAAAAAAUUUGGCGGUGUUUUAGUCUAGUUAGAGGAACCUGUUUUAUAAACGAUACAACACGCAUUAUUUUACUUAUUUUAGUGGAGCAGUUUGUAUACCGUCAUUAUAAGAUAAUUUAGGAGAAAAUAUUAUUGAAAUCAUAUUUGUGAGUAUAUUAGAUCAAGGUGCAGCUUAUAGAUAAGUAAAUAUGGGUUACAAUAAAAUUAAUUUAAUAUGAAUUAAGUAUUUAAAUAUAUUUAUGAAGGAGGAUUUAAUUGUAAGGGAAGGAGUAGUGAGAUUUUCUGAUAAAAGCUCUAAAUUAUGUACAUAUCGCCCGUCGCUC
rnacentral:rRNA from 5 species